AUUGAACGCUGGCGGCAGGCCUAACACAUGCAAGUCGAGCGCGAAAGUUCUUCGGAAUGAGUAAAGCGGCGGACGGGUGAGUAAUACAUGGGAAUCUGCCUGGUAGUGGGGGACAACGUUUCGAAAGGAGCGCUAAUACCGCAUACGCCCUACGGGGGAAAGGGGGGGAGUCUUCGGACCUCUCGCUAUCAGAUGAGCCC
rnacentral:rRNA from 1 species